GAUGGAAGAGUUGAGGAAGCUGGAAGAGGUACAGAGAAUGCUGACGUUCGUACAAUCUCGAGGCAUUCCAACGGCGUCGUCACCUGACGACUGUAGUUGCUUUCUUACUAAGCUCAUCCUCCUCCUGGUACAACCAUGUGGAGAACUUGACUUGGGCAAAAAGUGCAGUUUGGUUUCUGAAUAUAUGCCGAAGAUUUCUGCUGCAUUUCUUGAUGAAGCAUCCAAAUGGCUUAAUGGAGAAGGCUAUGAAGAAAAAUCUGUUGAAAAUGCUUUGCAGCUUGCCUGUAGCCAUAAGCCUGAGUCUAGUUCAUUGGACAAUAAUUCUGAAGAAAUGGCUAUGGUUGGACUGGACGCAAUGCAACGAGCAAAUUCUACCCUUGAAGAUUUUGUAAGCAGGCUUCGUUCUUGAAGAUAGAUUCUAUAUAUAAGAAUAUGCAUUAUUUAAUAGUUGAAUAUUCAUCAGUGCAUAGUACGGGGCAUUUUGGUUGCCGAUGGGGAAUGCUACAUGUGAUUGUAUUGAAACGAUUCUCUUAUUAUAUUUUUCAGUUUCUGAAAGUGAAGUAACCUAACAACCUCAGGUAACCC